GUAGGUGGCAAGUGUUGUCCGGAAUUAUUGGGCGUAAAGCGCGCGCAGGCGGUCCUUUAAGUCUGAUGUGAAAGCCCACGGCUCAACCGUGGAGGGUCAUUGGAAACUGGGGGACUUGAGUACAGAAGAGGAAAGCGGAAUUCCAAGUGUAGCGGUGAAAUGCGUAGAGAUUUGGAGGAACACCAGUGGCGAAGGCGGCUUUCUGGUCUGUAACUGACGCUGAGGCGCGAAAGCGUGGGGAGCAAACAGGAUUAGAUACCCUGGUAGUCCGCGCCGUAAACGAUGAGUGCUAAGUGUUAGGGGGUUUCCCGCCCCCCUUAGUGCUGCAGCUAACGCAUUAAGCACUCCGCCUGGGGAGUACGGCCGCAAGGCUG
rnacentral:rRNA from 1 species